UACAGAGGGUGCAAGCGUUAAUCGGAAUUACUGGGCGUAAAGCGUGCGUAGACGGUUAUGUAAGUCAGGUGUGAAAGCCCCGGGCUCAACCUGGGAAUUGCAUUUGAGACUGCAUAGCUAGGGUGCGGAAGAGGGAAGCGGAAUUUCCGGUGUAGCGGUGAAAUGCGUAGAUAUCGGAAGGAACACCAGUGGCGAAAGCGACUUCCUGGACCAAUACUGACGCUCAUGUGCGAAAGCGUGGGGAGCAAACAGG
rnacentral:rRNA from 1 species